CCUACGGGAGGCAUCAGUGAGGAAUAUUGGUCAAUGGGCGGGAGCCUGAACCAGCCAAGCCGCGUGAGGGAAGAAGGUACAGCGUAUCGUAAACCUCUUUUGUCAGGGAACAAAGGCGGGGACUAGUCCCCGGAUGCGGGUACCUGAAGAAAAAGCAUCGGCUAACUCCGUGCCAGCAGCCGCGGUAAUACGGAGGCUCCGGGCGUUAUCCGGUUUUAUUGGGUUUAAAGGGUGCGCAGGCGGCCUGUUAAGUCAGCGGUAAAAGCGCGGGGCUCACCCCCGGCGAGCCGUUGAAACUGGCAGGCUUGAGUUGGAGAGAAGUACGCGGAAUGCGCGGUGUAGCGGUGAAAUGCUUAGAUAUCGCGCAGAACCCCGAUUGCGAAGGCAGCGUGCCGGCUCCACACUGACGCUGAGGCACGAAAGCGUGGGUAUCGAACAGGAUUAGAUACCCGGGUAGUC
rnacentral:rRNA from 1 species